rnacentral:rRNA from 1 species
UACGUAGGGGGCAAGCGUUGUCCGGAUUUAUUGGGCGUAAAGAGCGUGUAGGCGGCCUGACAGGUCUGCUGUGAAAACUCGAGGCUCAACCUCGAGAUGUCGGCGGAAACCAUCUGGCUAGAGUCCGGAAGAGGAGAGUGGAAUUCCUGGUGUAGCGGUGAAAUGCGCAGAUAUCAGGAAGAACUCCCGUGGCGAAGGCGGCUCUCUGGGACGGUACUGACGCUGAGACGCGAAAGCGUGGGGAGCGAACAGG